CACGUGGUGUUCAAUUCUGUUUAGAAAAUGAAUCCAUCAGCGUCACUCCCUAAUGAAUCUUCCUGUACCCAGGCCUUAUUGGACCCCUCCCUUUGUCUCCCUCCUGGCUAGCAGCAGGAAUAUCAGUUUUUCAAGAAAACCUACGUUUGCUUUUGCUCCCCCACCCUCAUGAUCCAUAUUGUGAUAAUUUAUUGCUGUGAGACAAGGAAUGGACUGAAAAUUCCUGCAGUAUUGUUGAUGCCAAGACUUGGAUUAACUCAUUGGAAGGAUACGUGUUUCUUGUCAGGAGCUCCCCUCCUCUGAUCCUGUUUCCCCUGAAGAGAGCUAGAAGAAGAGUCUGAAAAGCCCUUGUGACAAGUUAGAGUCUGGAGUUCCUGGGAUGAUGAAAGCCAACCGUGUGCCUGCCCAGAGAAAUUGUGCUUGGAUACAUCCACCUCCUCGUUCAUGUAAUGAGAGAACAAAUAGAAGACCUGGAUGCACUCUGGAGUCAGAGGAGAGAAUUGAGUGUCAGAGAAAUCAAUUGGACUGCCUGAGGUGCUGGAGAAAAACUGAAGAACUGCAGGGACAUCAGGAGCAACAGUGGUCUAUUUUCAGAGAUCAGGUCACUGUUUGUGAAAAGGCUCAAGACAGCUGGAUUGGAAGUAAUGUAAAUACAGAUGAAGGCCGAGACAUUCAGGAGGCAGAAGGCAGGGUCUAACCAGGAGAGGACUCUGGAAAG
rnacentral:lncRNA from 1 species